GGGUUGUGAGGUUAAGCGACUAAGCGUACACGGUGGAUGCCCUGGCAGUCAGAGGCGAUGAAGGACGUGCUAAUCUGCGAUAAGCGUCGGUAAGGUGAUAUGAACCGUUAUAACCGGCGAUUUCCGAAUGGGGAAACCCAGUGUGAUUCGUCACACUAUCAUUAACUGAAUCCAUAGGUUAAUGAGGCGAACCGGGGGAACUGAAACAUCUAAGUACCCCGAGGAAAAGAAAUCAACCGAGAUUCCCCCAGUAGCGGCGAGCGAACGGGGAGCAGCCCAGAGCCUGAAUCAGUGUGUGUGUUAGUGGAAGCGUCUGGAAAGGCGCGCGAUACAGGGUGACAGCCCCGUACACAAAAAUGCACAUGCUGUGAGCUCGAUGAGUAGGGCGGGACACGUGGUAUCCUGUCUGAAUAUGGGGGGACCAUCCUCCAAGGCUAAAUACUCCUGACUGACCGAUAGUGAACCAGUACCGUGAGGGAAAGGCGAAAAGAACCCCGGCGAGGGGAGUGAAAAAGAACCUGAAACCGUGUACGUACAAGCAGUGGGAGCACGCUUAGGCGUGUGACUGCGUACCUUUUGUAUAAUGGGUCAGCGACUUAUAUUCUGUAGCAAGGUUAACCGAAUAGGGGAGCCGAAGGGAAACCGAGUCUUAACUGGGCGUUAAGUUGCAGGGUAUAGACCCGAAACCCGGUGAUCUAGCCAUGGGCAGGUUGAAGGUUGGGUAACACUAACUGGAGGACCGAACCGACUAAUGUUGAAAAAUUAGCGGAUGACUUGUGGCUGGGGGUGAAAGGCCAAUCAAACCGGGAGAUAGCUGGUUCUCCCCGAAAGCUAUUUAGGUAGCGCCUCGUGAAUUCAUCUCCGGGGGUAGAGCACUGUUUCGGCAAGGGGGUCAUCCCGACUUACCAACCCGAUGCAAACUGCGAAUACCGGAGAAUGUUAUCACGGGAGACACACGGCGGGUGCUAACGUCCGUCGUGAAGAGGGAAACAACCCAGACCGCCAGCUAAGGUCCCAAAGUCAUGGUUAAGUGGGAAACGAUGUGGGAAGGCCCAGACAGCCAGGAUGUUGGCUUAGAAGCAGCCAUCAUUUAAAGAAAGCGUAAUAGCUCACUGGUCGAGUCGGCCUGCGCGGAAGAUGUAACGGGGCUAAACCAUGCACCGAAGCUGCGGCAGCGACGCUUAUGCGUUGUUGGGUAGGGGAGCGUUCUGUAAGCCUGUGAAGGUGUGCUGUGAGGCAUGCUGGAGGUAUCAGAAGUGCGAAUGCUGACAUAAGUAACGAUAAAGCGGGUGAAAAGCCCGCUCGCCGGAAGACCAAGGGUUCCUGUCCAACGUUAAUCGGGGCAGGGUGAGUCGACCCCUAAGGCGAGGCCGAAAGGCGUAGUCGAUGGGAAACAGGUUAAUAUUCCUGUACUUGGUGUUACUGCGAAGGGGGGACGGAGAAGGCUAUGUUGGCCGGGCGACGGUUGUCCCGGUUUAAGCGUGUAGGCUGGUUUUCCAGGCAAAUCCGGAAAAUCAAGGCUGAGGCGUGAUGACGAGGCACUACGGUGCUGAAGCAACAAAUGCCCUGCUUCCAGGAAAAGCCUCUAAGCAUCAGGUAACAUCAAAUCGUACCCCAAACCGACACAGGUGGUCAGGUAGAGAAUACCAAGGCGCUUGAGAGAACUCGGGUGAAGGAACUAGGCAAAAUGGUGCCGUAACUUCGGGAGAAGGCACGCUGAUAUGUAGGUGAAGCGACUUGCUCGUGGAGCUGAAAUCAGUCGAAGAUACCAGCUGGCUGCAACUGUUUAUUAAAAACACAGCACUGUGCAAACACGAAAGUGGACGUAUACGGUGUGACGCCUGCCCGGUGCCGGAAGGUUAAUUGAUGGGGUUAGCGCAAGCGAAGCUCUUGAUCGAAGCCCCGGUAAACGGCGGCCGUAACUAUAACGGUCCUAAGGUAGCGAAAUUCCUUGUCGGGUAAGUUCCGACCUGCACGAAUGGCGUAAUGAUGGCCAGGCUGUCUCCACCCGAGACUCAGUGAAAUUGAACUCGCUGUGAAGAUGCAGUGUACCCGCGGCAAGACGGAAAGACCCCGUGAACCUUUACUAUAGCUUGACACUGAACAUUGAGCCUUGAUGUGUAGGAUAGGUGGGAGGCUUUGAAGUGUGGACGCCAGUCUGCAUGGAGCCGACCUUGAAAUACCACCCUUUAAUGUUUGAUGUUCUAACGUUGACCCGUGAUCCGGGUUGCGGACAGUGUCUGGUGGGUAGUUUGACUGGGGCGGUCUCCUCCUAAAGAGUAACGGAGGAGCACGAAGGUUGGCUAAUCCUGGUCGGACAUCAGGAGGUUAGUGCAAUGGCAUAAGCCAGCUUGACUGCGAGCGUGACGGCGCGAGCAGGUGCGAAAGCAGGUCAUAGUGAUCCGGUGGUUCUGAAUGGAAGGGCCAUCGCUCAACGGAUAAAAGGUACUCCGGGGAUAACAGGCUGAUACCGCCCAAGAGUUCAUAUCGACGGCGGUGUUUGGCACCUCGAUGUCGGCUCAUCACAUCCUGGGGCUGAAGUAGGUCCCAAGGGUAUGGCUGUUCGCCAUUUAAAGUGGUACGCGAGCUGGGUUUAGAACGUCGUGAGACAGUUCGGUCCCUAUCUGCCGUGGGCGCUGGAGAACUGAGGGGGGCUGCUCCUAGUACGAGAGGACCGGAGUGGACGCAUCACUGGUGUUCGGGUUGUCAUGCCAAUGGCACUGCCCGGUAGCUAAAUGCGGAAGAGAUAAGUGCUGAAAGCAUCUAAGCACGAAACUUGCCCCGAGAUGAGUUCUCCCUGACUCCUUGAGAGUCCUGAAGGAACGUUGAAGACGACGACGUUGAUAGGCCGGGUGUGUAAGCGCAGCGAUGCGUUGAGCUAACCGGUACUAAUGAACCGUGAGGCUUAACCUUACAACGCCGAAG
rnacentral:rRNA from 1 species